AUUAUAUGGCAAACCUUGUUCAGUUUUGACAACUUUGUUUCUGUGCAUCAUCACUGGGUGAAGUUUGUCGUAUAAU
rfam:Drosophila grimshawi strain TSC#15287-2541.00 scaffold_15112 genomic scaffold, whole genome shotgun sequence.